UGUUUUGUUCUGAUUUAAUUCUGAAGUUUACAGUAAUAUGUAUAUAUAGCCUGAUGUCCUCAUAUUCUGAUAAUUUGUCAGAAUAGGUAAAUGUAUGUAGAAGUUAUCAUCUUACUCAAAUUCUUUUGUAAGAGUUUGCUACAAGUAUGGACUGUUUUAACCUCUCGUUACACAUCAUAUAACAGUGUUUUCUAACUUUUCUCUCCAAUAGCUUUAUUACACAGCACAUCAAUGUUUCUUAACUUCUCUGUGACCUUGUUUCUCCACUCCUAUUAGGACCUCGUUUAAUGUCAACAAUGUUGCCCUGACCCUCACAUAUUUUCUGUUGUUCAUAAUUAUGUUUUAUGAGAGUGCUUAUGUUGCUGCACAAAUUUACUCCCCCCAUCCUUUAGUAACAUUGUGUAACCAGGGACAUAAUUUAUGAAAUGGUGUGCUUCCUGGUGAACCUCUUCAGGAUUGCUUGACUGUGCAAAAUCCAAGUAUACAAUAGUUGUAGAGACACAAGUCACAUGAUCUCUUUAAGGUUCAGAAGAGCCAUAUAGCAAAAACAAUUGAAUAGCGAUAUCAUUACAGACUGUGUAAAGAAAUGGGAAAUUGUCAUACAACUGCUUUGAAGAUUUCUUUAAUUUUUUCCAAACAAAAUUGUGAACAGUAAAAAAAAAUAUAUAUAUACAAAAUUCAGCACUGCCGUCGGUGUGGUGGGGGGCUUAAAACACGUUGCCACAGGCCAUCAUCAGCUCUGCUCUGAACCGGUUGAUGCCAUGCUCCUUCAGUGCUUUGAUCAAAAGCUGAAAAACAGUCAAAUAAUGUGAACAAUUGAAGUUAUGCAGUAUGGGUUAAUUGUUGUUCUUGAGCUUUCCAAAUGAAUAAGAACAACCUCUUAACAAUAUCAUCAUUUUUCAAAGCAAGCUAUAUAGUUUGAUCUACUCACCUCUGGGAGCAUGACGUCAAAAACGAAAUCAAGCAGAUGAAUCUCGCCUCUCUUUAUUUUUUUAGAAAUGUUUGUUGCCACCUCAAUGAACCGCAGGAGCUCGUACAUCUAUUGAAGAAAAACACAGAAAGUAAACACCUUUCAAAUGUAACACCCCUGAGAGUAAAAAUACUCAUGAUGGAUGGCAUUUUUACUUACGCGCUGCUCACUCCAACUUAGUGUCCUUAUCUUAAGAUGCUGCUUUAGUCGGAGUGAGGUGGCGGGAUUCCUCCAAAGGAACAUUCUGUUGGAGCGGAUCUUUCCAGACAGUAGAUCAUCGUGUAAUGUCUGAAACCAAAGAGCAAGAGACAAAAAUGUAAUCAUCUGAAAAAGAAACGGUGGCUUUAACAACUGAUAGUGCAUUCAAAAGCAACCUUGAUCUGUGUCUUAGAAAAGACAGCAUGAAUUCCUCAACUGUCAACAGCAUCCUUGAUCCUGCAGAGAAAUAAGAAAAGAGCAAGCCCUCAUUUUUUCAUCCUUUGAGCCUCGUAUUUUUGACUGAUACUAUGUUUCCUUGAUAAAUUAUGUUAUACCGAGGAUGCUCAAUGGAGUCCUCGCACCCGCAGUCAAACGGCUCCAUUUCAAUCCCAGCACAAUCCUGAUGCAGCCAGCCCCUGCACGUCUUGCACUGGACCCAUUUUAUGACGUUUACCUCAGGGUAAAGCAAU
rnacentral:lncRNA from 1 species